CCUACGGGCGGCAGCAGUGGGGAAUUUUGCGCAAUGCUCGUAAGAGUGACGCAGCGACGCCGCGUGAAUGACGAAGGCCUUCGGGACGUAAAGUUCUUUCAACAGGGAAGAAAAUGCAUAUAAGUAACUGUGUAUGUAUUGACGGUACCUGUAUAAGCAGCGCCGGCUAACUCCGUGCCAGCAGCCGCGGUAAUACGGAGGGGGCGAGAGUUGUCCGGAGUGACUGGGCGUAAAGAGCACGUAGGCGGUGUUGUAAGUCAUUAGUCAAAGACUAGAGCUCAACCGUAGUAAGGCUGGUGAUACUAUAAUGCUAGAGUACAAGAGAGGAUUGCAGAAUUCCUGGUGUAGCGGUGAAAUGCGUAGAUAUCAGGAGGAAUACCGUUAGCGAAGGCGGCAAUCUGGCUGGAAACUGACGCUGAGGUGCGAAAGCGUGGGUAGCAAACAGGAUUAGAUACCCUGGUAGUC
rnacentral:rRNA from 1 species